rnacentral:hammerhead_ribozyme from 1 species
AUCCAUCUGGCGAGUCCCAAAUAAGACGAAACACACGUCCUGGAU